AUUGAACGCUGGCGGCAGGCCUAACACAUGCAAGUCGAGCGGAUGAAGGGAGCUUGCUCCUGGAUUCAGCGGCGGACGGGUGAGUAAUGCCUAGGAAUCUGCCUGGUAGGGGGGGAUAACGUCCGGAAAAGGGCGCUAAUACCGCAUACGUCCUGAGGGAGAAAGUGGGGGAUCUUCGGACCUCACGCUAUCAGAUGAGCCUAGGUCGGAUUAGCUAGUUGGUGGGGUAAAGGCCUACCAAGGCGACGAUCCGUAACUGGUCUGAGAGGAUGAUCAGUCACACUGGAACUGAGACACGGUCCAGACUCCUACGGGAGGCAGCAGUGGGGAAUAUUGGACAAUGGGCGAAAGCCUGAUCCAGCCAUGCCGCGUGUGUGAAGAAGGUCUUCGGAUUGUAAAGCACUUUAAGUUGGGAGGAAGGGCAGUAAGUUAAUACCUUGCUGUUUUGACGUUACCAACAGAAUAAGCACCGGCUAACUUCGUG
rnacentral:rRNA from 1 species